rnacentral:tRNA from 1 species
UGGGGGCUGGUGCAAACGGCAGCACGACCGCCUCUGGAGCGGCAGAUGGAGGUUCGAGCCCUCCGCCCCCAG